rnacentral:rRNA from 1 species
GACGAACGCUGGCGGCGUGCUUAACACAUGCAAGUCGAACGGAAAGGCCCUGCUUUUGUGGGGUGCUCGAGUGGCGAACGGGUGAGUAACACGUGAGUAACCUGCCCUUGACUUUGGGAUAACUUCAGGAAACUGGGGCUAAUACCGGAUAGGAGCUCCUGCUGCAUGGUGGGGGUUGGAAAGUUUCGGCGGUUGGGGAUGGACUCGCGGCUUAUCAGCUUGUUGGUGGGGUAGUGGAUUACCAAGGCUUUGACGGGUAGCCGGCCUGAGAGGGUGACCGGCCACACUGGGACUGAGAUACGGCCCAGACUCCUACGGGAGGCAGCAGUGGGGAAUAUUGCACAAUGGGCGGAAGCCUGAUGCAGCAACGCCGCGUGCGGGAUGACGGCCUUCGGGUUGUAAACCGCUUUCGCCUGUGACGAAGCGUGAGUGACGGUAAUGGGUAAAGAAGCACCGGCUAACUACGUG